rnacentral:lncRNA from 1 species
ACAUUUUAAAUGUUUUUAUCUAUGUUAUCUGAUUUUCCUUUUCAGACAAUGCCUUCAUGUUGUCUAGCCUUGAACUCUGAGUUUCAAGAUGACAUGCGGAGCAUUUUUCAAGAUUAUCCUCUAGGCUUAUGAAUCAAGAUUGGCCUUGGAGUUGAUUCUGAAAGACAUCAAAGAAAGGAAACCUCAACUGAAGAUUCGAAACUAGGUCUACCCAACGCUAGAGACUGUUAGGAGAGCAAUGCAUAGGAUGCAUGACCGAAAUCACCUGCUAAGUGGCAUUUACUGCUCACUAAUAAACCAAAAGACC